rnacentral:rRNA from 1 species
AUUGAACGCUGGCGGCAGGCCUAACACAUGCAAGUCGAGCGAGCGGCGGACGGGUGAGUAAUGUCUGGGAAACUGCCUGAUGGCGGGGGAUAACUACUGGAAACGGUAGCUAAUACCGCAUACCAUCAGAUGUGCCCAGAUGGGAUUAGCUAGUAGGUGGGGUAACGUCUCACCUAGGCGACGAUCCCUAGCUGGUCUGAGAGGAUGACCAGCCACACUGGAAAUGAGACACGGGCCAAACUCCUACGAGAGGCAGCAGUGGGGAAUAUUGCACAAGGGGCGAAAGCCUGAUGCAGCAAUGCCGCGUGUGGGAAGAAGGCCUGCGGGUUGUAAAGCACUGUCAGCGGGGAGGCGUUACCCGCAGAAGAAGCACCGGCUAACUCCGUGCCAGCCGCCGCGGUAAUAC